rnacentral:rRNA from 1 species
CCCGCUGAACUUAAGCAUAUCAAUAAGCGGAGGAAAAGAAACUAACAAGGAUUCCCCUAGUAACGGCGAGUGAAGCGGGAAGAGCUCAAAUUUAAAAUCUGGUUUGCUUGCAAAUCCGAGUUGUAGUCUGAAGAAACGUUUUCCAUGAAAGCUGAGGCACAAGUCCUUUGGAACAGGGCAUCAUAGAGGGUGAGAAUCCCGUCCAUGGUCUCAAGCCUUUCAUUUUGUGAUACGUUUUCUAAGAGUCAGGUUGUUUGGGAAUGCAGCCUAAAAUGGGUGGUAAAUUUCAUCUAAAGCUAAAUAUUGGCGAGAGACCGAUAGCGAACAAGUACCGUGAGGGAAAGAUGAAAAGAACUUUGAAAAGAGAGUUAAAAAGUACGUGAAAUUGCUGAAAGGGAAACGCUUGAAGUCAGUCGCGUCGUCCAGGGAUCAACCUUGCUUUUGCUUGGUGCACUUUCUGGUUCGAUGGGUCAGCAUCAAUUUUGACUGUUGGAAAAAGGUCAAGGGAAUGUGGCAUCUUUGGAUGUGUUAUAGCCCUUGGUCACAUACAAUGGUUGGGAUUGAGGAACUCAGCACGCCGCAAGGCCGGGUUUUAAACCACGUACGUGCUUAGGAUGCUGGCAAUAUGGCUUUAAUCGACCCGUCUUGAAACACGG